CCUACGGGAGGCAGCAGUGAGGAAUAUUGGUCAAUGGACGUGAGCCUGAACCAGCCAAGUCGCGUGAAGGAUGACUGUUCUAUGGAUCGUAAACCUCUUUUAUAAGGGAAUAAAGUGUUGGACGUGUGCUGUUUUGUAUGUACCUUAUGAAUAAGGAUCGGCUAACUCCGUGCCAGCAGCCGCGGUAAUACGGAGGAUCCGAGCGUUAUCCGGAUUUAUUGGGUUUAAAGGGUGCGUAGGCGGCUUGUUAAGUCAGCGGUGAAAGUUUGCGGCUCAACCGUAAAAUUGCAGUUGAAACUGGCAGUCUUGAGUACAGUGGAGGUAGGCGGAAUUCGUGGUGUAGCGGUGAAAUGCUUAGAUAUCACGCAGAACCCCGAUUGCGAAGGCAGCUCGCUAGGCUAUGACUGACACUGAGGCACGAAAGCGUGGGUAUCAAACAGGAUUAGAUACCCGAGUAGUC
rnacentral:rRNA from 1 species